CGUUGAAACAUCGGUUCUCGUACGAUCACCAAAGUUAAGCAACGUAAAGCCUGAUCAGUACCUAGACGGGUGACCGCUUGGGAAUGUCAUG